rnacentral:rRNA from 1 species
UAAUACGGAGGGUGCAAGCGUUGUUCGGAUUCACUGGGUAUAAAGGGUGCGCAGGCGGCCUGGUAAGUCAGGGGUGAAAUAUGACGGCUCAACCGUCAAACUGCCCCUGAAACUGUCAGGCUUGAGUCCGGGAGAGGAAGGUGGAAUUCCAGGUGUAGCGGUGAAAUGCGUAAAUAUCUGGAGGAACACCGGUGGCGAAGGCGGCCUUCUGGCCCGGAACUGACGCUCAGGCACGAAAGCUAGGGGAGCGAACGGGAUUAGAUACCCCGGUAGUCCUAGCCGUAAACGAUGGGUACUAGGUGUUGGAGGAUUCUACCCCUUCGGUGCCGCAGCUAACGCAUUAAGUACCCCACCUGGGGAGUACGAUCGCAAGGUUG